rnacentral:lncRNA from 1 species
AUUUGAAAACAGGACCAAAAAUGAAGAAUCUACAUACACAGUUAGAUUUGGUAUAUCAAAGAACCCCAUUUAUUCAAUUUUUGAUGAAAUCAAACAAAGUUUAAUUUUGGACCCCGAUUUGGACCAACUUGAAAACUGGGCCAAUAAUCAAGAAUCUAAGUACAUUUUUAGAUUCAGCAUAUCAAACAACCUAACUGAUUCAUUUUUUGUCAAAAUCAAACUAAGUUUAAUUUUGGACCCUUUGGACCUUAAUGUAGACCAAUUUGAAAAUGGGACCAAAAGUUAAGAAUCUACAUACACAGUCAUGACAGUUAGAUUCGGCAUAUCAAAGAACCCCAAUUAUUCAAUUUUGAUGAAAUCAAACAAAGUUUAAUUUUGGACCCUUUGGGCCCCUUAUUCUGUUGGGACCAAAACUCCCAAAAUCAAUACCAACCUUCCUUUUAUGGUCAUAAACCUUGUGUUUAAAUUUCAUAGAUUUCUAUUUACUUAUACUAACGUUAUGGUGCGAAAACCAAGAAAAAUGCUUAUUUGGGUCCCUUUUUGGCCCCUAAUUCCUAAACUGUUGGGACCUAAACUCCCAAAAUCAAUACCAACCUUCCUUUUGUAGUCAUUAACAUUGUGUUUAAAUUUCAUUGAUUUCUAUUUACUUAAACUAAAGUUAUUGUGCGAAAACCAAGAAUAAUGCUUAUUUGGGCCCUUUUUCGGCCCCUAAUUCCUAAACUGUUGGGACCUAAACUCCCAAAAUCAAUCCCAACCGUUCUUUUGUGGUCAUAAACCUUGUGUCAAAAUUUCAUAGAUUUCUAUUAACUUAAACUAAAGUUAUAGUGCGAAAACCAAGAAAAUGCUUAUUUGGGCCCUUUUUGGCCCCUAAUUCCUAAAAUGUUGGGACCAAAACUCCCAAAAUCAAUACCAACCUUCCUUUUGUGGUCAUAAACCUUGUGUUAAAAUUUCAUAGAUUUCCAUUCACUUUUACUAAAGUUAGAGUGCGAAAACUAAAAGUAUUCGGACGACGACGACGACGCAGACCACGACGCAGACGACGACGCCAACGUGAUAGCAAUAUACGACGAAAAUUUUUUCAAAUUUUGCGGUCGUAUAAAAAUUAUUGGCAAGCAGAAUGUACUAACAGUUUGUAAAAUAUUUACCCUUUAUUUUUGUGACUAUACUAAGAAGCAUUAAGCAAUCAAGUCUAGAUAUAGUAAGGAAAGACAACUCAUAAAUAUUUGACAUACAAUUUAAACUAUCAAGACAAUGGUAUGUGUUUUGUUUUAUCAUAUUACAAUAUGUAUGAUAAUGACUACUAUUAAUCUAAACAAAUAACACAUAUUCUACUACUGUAGCACUAGCCAGUCAACACUGAGGUUGUGAGUUUGAACCCCGCUUGUGCGGGUGCACUUCACUAUAAUCUUAAUUGACUAGGAAACAGUUUUCCUUAUGAAGGUCAGUGGUUUUUUCUCCUGCUUCCUCCACCCAUAAAUACUGACCACCAAGAAAUAUUCCAAAGUGGCGCUUAAAAGUGGUGUUAAAACACCAAAAAUUCACAAUGAAUUAAAUAGCUUUACAUUUUUGAAAACAAAUUAUUUCUCUAAAUAAGAUGACAUUUAAAGAAUUUUUUGAAAUGUUGGAUAAAUUUUUGAUAACUCAGCAGUUUUUCGUUUUAAACUAUGCUUUAAGAUUUUUAAUUAUCCAAUUCAAAACUUCUUUUUACCAUUUUACUGCAUUUAUCAUAAAAUGCAUCCUAUCUUAAAAAUUGAAUUCUAAAUUCUAUUUCUCCAAUUGGCAUCCUUAAUGCAUCCCAUUAAGAUUAUAAAUUAAGUAAAAACAACUAAUAAUUGUAACUACUGGGCUUAUAAAUAUAGGUAUACAUUAUUGAGAAAACAACCACAUUGACACAACAAAUUCCUAAUAAUAUAUUUAUACAUUCAAUAUACUGAAUUCACUGGCAGUCAUGUAUAUUUUGUUAUUUUAAGCAAAAAUCUCCAGUCUAUUCUAAUAAAACAUCAGAUAGGUUAGUCUAUAAUGAGCACUUAUUCCAAAACCAAUGAACAAAAAAUUUACACUGGUCAUUAUACAUGAAAUGGGAUUUAGGUUAAAACAAGGAAUUAUUUAAAUCUGGAAUAAAUUUGAAUACUGGAAAAUUGAUUAGAAAUGUAUGAUGAAAACUUUACCAACUAAAUAGGGUUUAUUUUAUUUAUUAGCAUGUGAUGCUGGCAUGGCUAAAGUUAAUUUUACUUUCACUAUCAUUUCAGUAUGUAUGAAUUAACUAACCCCCUCCUUAGCAAUGCGGAGUACAUGGCUAACCCUAUUUAGUUGGGUUAGUUUUCAUCAUAAAUUUCUCAUCAUUUUUUUUAGAAUUCAAUAUUAUUCAAGAUUCAAAUUAUUCCUUGUUUCAAGGACUUUCCAUUCAGAUGGAAUUUCUUUUAUGAACUAAUUAUAGUAGACCUGCUACAUAUAACUGAACAAUGGUCAUCGCUCCAUGAAAAGGUCAUAAAGCCUUGAAGGUAAUGUGAGCUCUGUCAGAUAGGCAUGUACAUUUGCAUAUAUAUCAAAGCUUCAAGGAACAAAUUAUAGUAGACCUGCUAUAUAUAUUGUACAGCGGAAACAAACAAUCACAAAAGAUUGAUCAUUGAUCAUUGACAUAUGAAAAUGAGGUAGAGAUGAAUGGACCAUUCAUUGCCCUUUAUAAGGACAAAUGCAAAUUAUAAUGAUUUUAUUAAGAACAAAUUUCUGCAUCCAAUUUGCAUAUUUCAAUAAAAAUCACAGCCUGAUCAUUUGCAAAUUAGUUGUGAUCCAAGAUGGUGAAAUUCUCUCAUAUGGAAAAGAGACAAAAAGUGGGAAAAAAUAAUCCCCCUGAAAGAUGACAAAUAAAUUAACAAUAACACACAUUUAAAUGACUUUUCUUAUUCACAAACUAUUUUGCAGGCAAUGCACAACACACAUCCAUGGUUUUUAUUGAAAAAUAUCAUGAAUAAAAAUGACAAUUAUUUUAAGUACUAAAGAGAU